GCCGUCCGGAUGCCUGGUCGACAUGAGUGGAUCGGCAGGAGUGGAGGACCCGAGCAGUACGGGACGGCCCGGAAACGAGUCUCCCUCGGGGUGAAGCCGCCGCGGCGGCCGGGCAACUUCGCCAGCCCGAACCCGACAGGUCAUCCUUCACAGGCGGCUGACGAAGGGUUG
rnacentral:sRNA from 2 species